rnacentral:rRNA from 1 species
AGAGUUUGAUCCUGGCUCAGGAUGAACGCUGGCGGCGUGCUUAACACAUGCAAGUCGAACGGAGUUUAUACGGAAGGAGUCUUCGGGCAACGGAAGUAUAAACUUAGUGGCGGACGGGUGAGUAACGCGUGGGUAACCUGCCUUAUACAAGGGGAUAACAGAGGGAAACUUCUGCUAAUACCGUAUAAAAAUAUUUCACGCAUGUGAGAUAUUUGAAAGAUUUAUCAGUAUGAGAUGGACCCGCGUCUGAUUAGGUAGUUGGUGAGGUAGAGGCUCACCAAGCCGACGAUCGGUAGCCGAUCUGAGAGGAUGACCGGCCACAUUGGGACUGAGACACGGCCCAAACUCCUACGGGAGGCAGCAGUGGGGAAUAUUGGACAAUGGGGGCAACCCUGAUCCAGCGACGCCGCGUGAGUGAAGAAGUAUUUCGGUAUGUAAAGCUCUAUCGAUAACGGAAGAAGAUGACAAGCCGUUAAGGAAGAAGCCCCGGCUAACUACGUGCCAGCAGCCGCGGUAAUACGUAGGGGGCAAGCGUUAUCCGGAUUUACUGGGUGUAAAGGGAGCGUAGACGGCGAAUAAAGUCUGAAGUGAAAUCCCGCAGCUCAACUGCGGAGUUGCUUUGGAAACUUAUAAGCUGGAGUGUCGGAGGGGUAAGCGGAAUUCCCAGUGUAGCGGUGAAAUGCGUAGAUAUUGGGAGGAACACCGGAGGCGAAGGCGGCUUACUGGAAGAUAACUGACGUUGAGGCUCGAAGGCGUGGGUAGCAAACAGGAUUAGAUACCCUGGUAGUCCACGCAGUAAACGAUGAAUACUAGGUGUCGGGAGGGAAUAACCUUUUCGGUGCCGUCGCAAACGCAAUAAGUAUUCCACCUGGGGAGUACGUUCGCAAGAAUGAAACUCAAAGGAAUUGACGGGGACCCGCACAAGCGGUGGAGCAUGUGGUUUAAUUCGAAGCAACGCGAAGAACCUUACCAGGUCUUGACAUCCCUCUGACCGCUCUAGAGAUAGAGUUUUCCUUCGGGACAGAGGUGACAGGUGGUGCAUGGUUGUCGUCAGCUCGUGUCGUGAGAUGUUGGGUUAAGUCCCGCAACGAGCGCAACCCUUGUCCCGUGUUGCCAGCACGUUGUGGUGGGGACUCGCGGGAGACUGCCGGGGU